GACGAACGCUGGCGGCGUGCUUAACACAUGCAAGUCGAGCGGGGAUUGAGAUUGGAAAGCUUCGGCCGGAAGAUUUCAAUUCUAGCGGCGGACGGGUGAGUAACGCGUGAGCAAUCUGUCCCACACAGGGGGAUAACAACUGGAAACAGUUGCUAAUACCGCAUAAGACCACGAUGUCGCAUGGCAUUGAGGUAAAAGAUUUAUCGGUGUGGGGUGAGCUCGCGUCUGAUUAGCUAGUUGGUGAGGUAACGGCCCACCAAGGCGACGAUCAGUAGCCGACCUGAGAGGGUGCUCGGCCACAUUGGAACUGAGACACGGUCCAGACUCCUACGGGAGGCAGCAGUGGGGAAUAUUGGGCAAUGGGCGCAAGCCUGACCCAGCAACGCCGCGUGAGGGAAGAAGGCUUUCGGGUUGUAAACCUCUGUCCUAAGUGACGAACAAGAUGGCGGUAGCUUAGGAGGAAGCCCCGGCUAACUACGUGCCAGCCGCCGCCGCUGUAA
rnacentral:rRNA from 1 species